AGAUUGAACGCUGGCGGCAUGCCUUACACAUGCAAGUCGAACGGCAGCACGGGAGCAAUCCUGGUGGCGAGUGGCGAACGGGUGAGUAAUACAUCGGAACGUGCCCAAUCGUGGGGGAUAACGCAGCGAAAGCUGUGCUAAUACCGCAUAAGAUCUACGGAUGAAAGCAGGGGAUCGCAAGACCUUGCGCGAAUGGAGCGGCCGAUUGGCAGAUUAGGUAGUUGGUGAGGUAAAGGCUCACCAAGCCUUCGGAUCUGUAGCUGGUCUGAGAGGACGACCAGCCACA
rnacentral:rRNA from 1 species